rnacentral:rRNA from 1 species
UACGAAGGGGGCUAGCGUUGCUCGGAAUGACUGGGCGUAAAGGGCCCGUAGGCGGCUUGUACAGUCAGAUGUGAAAUUCCUGGGCUCAACCUGGGGGCUGCAUUUGAUACGUAUGGGCUUGAGUGGGGAAGAGGGUCGUGGAAUUCCCAGUGUAGAGGUGAAAUUCGUAGAUAUUGGGAAGAACACCGAUGGCGAAGGCGGCGACCUGGUCCUUGACUGACGCUGAGGCGCGAAAGCGUGGGGAGCAAACAGG